rnacentral:rRNA from 1 species
GCCGCCGUCGCCUCGCAAGUCGAGCGGACAGAAGGGAGCUUGCUCCCGGAUGUUAGCGGCGGACGGGUGAGUAACACGUGGGUAACCUGCCUGUAAGACUGGGAUAACUCCGGGAAACCGGAGCUAAUACCGGAUAGUUCCUUGAACCGCAUGGUUCAAGGAUGAAAGACGGUUUCGGCUGUCACUUACAGAUGGACCCGCGGCGCAUUAGCUAGUUGGUGGGGUAAUGGCUCACCAAGGCGACGAUGCGUAGCCGACCUGAGAGGGUGAUCGGCCACACUGGGACUGAGACACGCCCCAAACUCCUACGGGAGGCAGCAGUAGGGAAUCUUCCGCAAUGAACGAAAGUCUGACGAACCAACGCCGCGUGAGUGAUAAAGGUUUUCGAAUCGAAAA